UACGUAGGGACCAAGCGUUGUUCGGAUUUACUGGGCGUAAAGGGCGCGUAGGCGGCAUGACAAGUCACUUGUGAAAUCUCUGGGCUUAACCCAGAACGGCCAAGUGAUACUGUCGCGCUAGAGUGCGGAAGGGGCAAUCGGAAUUCUCGGUGUAGCGGUGAAAUGCGUAGAUAUCGAGAGGAACACCAGUGGCGAAGGCGACUUCCUGGCCUGUUCUUGACGCUGAGGCGCGAAAGCUAGGGGAGCAAACGGG
rnacentral:rRNA from 1 species